rnacentral:rRNA from 1 species
GAUGAACGCUGGCGGCGUGCCUAAUACAUGCAAGUCGAGCGAAUGGAUUGAGAGCUUGCUCUUAUGAAGUUAGCGGCGGACGGGUGAGUAACACGUGGGUAACCUGCCCAUAAGACUGGGAUAACUCCGGGAAACCGGGGCUAAUACCGGAUAAUAUUUUGAACUGCAUGGUUCAAAAUUGAAAGGCGGCUUCGGCUGUCACUUAUGGAUGGACCCGCGUCGCAUUAGCUAGUUGGUGAGGUAACGGCUCACCAAGGCAACGAUGCGUAGCCGACCUGAGAGGGUGAUCGGCCACACUGGGACUGAGACACGGCCCAGACUCCUACGGGAGGCAGCAGUAGGGAAUCUUCCGCAAUGGACGAAAGUCUGACGGAGCAACGCCGCGCGAGUGACGAAGGCUUUCGGGUCGUAAAACUCUGUUGAUAGGGAAGAACAAGUGCUAGUUGAAUAAGCUGGCACCUUGACGGUACCUAACCAGAAAGCCACGGCUAACUACGUGCCAGCCGCCGCCGUAA